UAUUACACAAUAUCGUGUGGGUGAGACCCUGCGUUCAGGUUCGAGCCGAGCGAAGCGAGACAGCAACGCGCCAGCGUUGACCCGAAGGGCGAGGCCAGCGGCCGAGUCAUCCCGCACGACCCACCA
rnacentral:sRNA from 1 species